GACGAACGCUGGCGGCGUGCUUAACACAUUCAAGUCGAACGGAAAGGCCCUGCUUUUGUGGGGUGCUCGAGUGGCGAACGGUUUAGUAACACGUGAGUAACCUGCCCUUGACUUUGGUAUAACUUCAGGAAACUGGGGCUAAUACCUGAUAUGAUCUCCUGCUGCAUGGUGGGUGUUGUACAGUUUCGGCGGUUGGGGAUGGACUCGCGGCUUAUCAGCUUGUUUGUGGGGUAGUGGCUUACAAAGGCUUUGACGGGUAGCCGGCCUGAGAGGGUGACGGGACAAAUUGGGACUGAGAUACGGCCCAGAUGCCUACGGGAGGAAGAAGUGGCGAAGAUUGCAAAAUGGGCGGAAGCCGGAUGAAGGAACGCCGCGUGUGGGAUGACGGACUUCGGGUUGUAAAACGCUUUCGCCGGUGACGAAGCGUGAGUGACGGUAAUAGGUAAAGAAGCACCGGCUAACUACGUG
rnacentral:rRNA from 1 species